rnacentral:lncRNA from 1 species
CUUUGUUCUGUGGAUGACAAGCCUGGCCUGAACAAAAUGAUGUUGGAUAUGCUGGAGAAAAGACAGAAGGAUGACCAGGCUAAAUAUGGGCGUGUUGCACUCAUGUUAGAUUCCAUGGCCAUAAGAAAACAUGUGCAAUAUAAUCCGCACAACCAGUCAAUGUCUGGCUUUGUAGACAUUGGUGAUGGAAACAAUGAGACUGAUGUUGCUACUGAGGCGCUUGUGUUCCUGGUGGUUGGCCUUCAAGGACAUUGGAAGGCUCCCAUUGCAUAUUACCUGACGAAGACUCUGUCUCCAGACACACAAAGGGUCCUUCUCACUCAUGCAUUGGAGGAGCUGCAUGCACGGGGUAUUCAGGUGGUAUGUGUCACAAUGGAUGGCCAUGCUACAAACAUCAGCAUGUGCAAUCAACUUGGUUGUGAGCUGAGGGGUAACCCACAAGAGCCACUUAAAACCAGUUUCCCACAUCCGUCGACUGGUGACCAAGUAUUCAUAAUGAUGGACGCAUGCCACAUGCUGUAGUUGGCACGUAAUAUGUUGCAGGUAAAUUAUAAAUGUUGUAUACCUAUUUGUACAAGUUAUGUCUCUGCUACUAAAAGUUGCACAUUUAUUACUGGAUGUGAAGAUCAACAUUGUGCUGUUUGUACUUGUUUGAGCAGUGACCAAUUCUUUCUCUGCAGUCAUACAGUCCGAUUGCAUCUACCAGUGGACAAAUAAAUUGGAGGUACAUCAAUCAGCUCAAUGAUGUGCAAAAAAAAGAUGGACUGCAUGCCACAAAUAAAAUUACAGACAAGCAUGUCCACUUUGAG